rnacentral:rRNA from 1 species
AGGUUAAGCUAGAAAGAGCACACGGAGGAUGCCUAGGCACUAGGAGCCGAAGAAGGACGUGGCGAACGACGAAAUGCCUCGGGGAGCCGUAAGC